rnacentral:tRNA from 1 species
GCCGGUGAUGGCGUACGAGGCGCUCGCGCCCUGGCGCGACGCGGGUAUCGCGUGCCGGUUCAUCUCCAACAUCGACCC